UGCCAGCCGCCGCGGUAAUACGGAGGGUCCAAGCGUUGUUCGGAAUCACUGGGCGUAAAGCGCGUGUAGGCGGUUUCGUCAGUCGGAUGUGAAAUCCCAGGGCUCAACCCUGGACGUGCAUCCGAUACUACGAAACUAGAAUCCCGGAGGGGGUGGCGGAAUUCCUGGUGUAGAGGUGAAAUUCGUAGAUAUCAGGAGGAACACCUGUGGCGAAGGCGGUCUCUUGGUCCUAUACUGACGCUGAGGCUCGAAAGCGUGGGGAGCAAACAGGAUUAGAUA
rnacentral:rRNA from 1 species